AGUCAACAUGCCCAGGGGGACGUGGAUAACCUCGGGAAACUGAGGAUAAACCGCGAUAGGUCAUCACUUCUGGAAUGGGUAAUGACUUAAAUCUAUAUGGCCCCUGGAUUGGACUGCGGCCGAUCAGGCUGUUGGUGAGGUAAUGGCCCACCAAACCUGUAACCGGUACGGGCUCUGAGAGGAGGAGCCCGGAGAUGGGCACUGAGACAAGGGCCCAGGCCCUAUGGGGCGCAGCAGGCGCGAAACCUCUGCAAUAGGCGAAAGCUUGACAGGGUUACUCUGAGUGAUUUCCGUUAAGGAGAUCUUUUGGCACCUCCAAAAAUGGUGCAGAACAAGGGGUGGGCAAGUCCGGUGUCAGCCGCCGCGGUAAUACCAGCACCCCGAGUGGUCGGGACGUUUAUUGGGCCUAAAGCAUCCGUAGCCGGUUCUACAAGUCUUCCGUUAAAUCCACCUGCUUAACAGAUGGGCUGCGGAAGAUACUAUAGAGCUAGGAGGCGGGAGAGGCAAGCGGUACUCGAUGGGUAGGGGUAAAAUCCGUUGAUCCAUUGAAGACCACCAGUGGCGAAGGCGGCUUGCCAGAACGCGCUCGA
rnacentral:rRNA from 1 species